rnacentral:rRNA from 1 species
UACGGAGGGGGCGAGCGUUGUUCGGAAUUACUGGGCGUAAAGGGCGCGUAGGCGGCCUGUUGCGUCGGGUGUGAAAGCCCUGGGCUCAACCUGGGAGGUGCACUCGAAACGGGCAGGCUUGAAACCGAGAGAGGAUCGUGGAAUUCCCAGUGUAGAGGUGAAAUUCGUAGAUAUUGGGAAGAACACCAGAGGCGAAGGCGGCGAUCUGGCUCGGUUUUGACGCUGAGGCGCGACAGCGUGGGGAGCAAACAGG